AGAGUUUGAUCAUGGCUCAGGAUGAACGCUGGCGGCGUGCCUAAUACAUGCAAGUCGAGCGCGAGCGAUUGGAGCUUGCUCCAAUCAAUCGAGCGGCGGACGGGUGAGUAACACGUAGGCAACCUACCCAUCAGACUGGGAUAACCACGGGAAACCGUGGCUAAUACCGGAUGAUCCUUUGAGACACAAGUCUUAAAGUUGAAAGGCGCUUUUGGUGCCGUUGAUGGAUGGGCCUGCGGCGCAUUAGCUGGUUGGUGGGGUAACGGCCCACCAAGGCGACGAUGCGUAGCCGACCUGAGAGGGUGAUCGGCCACACUGGGACUGAGACACGGCCCAGACUCCUACGGGAGGCAGCAGUAGGGAAUCUUCCGCAAUGGACGCAAGUCUGACGGAGCAACGCCGCGUGAGUGAAGAAGGGUUUCGGCUCGUAAAACUCUGUUGUUAAGGAAGAAUGACACAUGGAGUAACUGCCAUGUGUGUGACGGUACUUAACCAGAAAGCCACGGCUAACUACGUGCCAGCAGCCGCGGUAAUACGUAGGUGGCAAGCGUUAUCCGGAAUUAUUGGGCGUAAAGCGCGCGUAGGCGGUUUCUUAAGUCUGAUGUGAAAGCCCCCGGCUCAACCGGGGAGGGUCAUUGGAAACUGGGGAACUUGAGUGCAGAGGAGGAGAGUGGAAUUCCAUGUGUAGCGGUGAAAUGCGCAGAGAUAUGGAGGAACACCAGUGGCGAAGGCGGCUCUCUGGUCUGUAACUGACGCUGAUGUGCGAAAGCGUGGGGAUCAAACAGGAUUAGAUACCCUGGUAGUCC
rnacentral:rRNA from 1 species